rnacentral:rRNA from 1 species
UGGGGAAUUUUGCGCAAUGGGGGAAACCCUGACGCAGCAACGCCGCGUGGAGGAUGAAGGUCCUUGGAUUGUAAACUCCUGUCAGCAGGGAAGAAGGCCUGGGGGUGAAUAUCCCCCAGGAUUGACGGUACCUGCAGAGGAAGCCCCGGCUAACUCUGUGCCAGCAGCCGCGGUAAUACAGAGGGGGCAAGCGUUAUUCGGAAUUAUUGGGCGUAAAGGGCGCGUAGGCGGCUUCGCAAGUGAUGGGUGAAAUCCCUCGGCUUAACCGAGGAACUGCCCCUCAAACUGCGUUGCUGGAGUCCGGGAGAGGUGAGUGGAAUUCCCAGUGUAGCGGUGAAAUGCGUAGAUAUUGGGAGGAACACCAGUGGCGAAGGCGGCUCACUGGACCGGAACUGACGCUGAGGCGCGAAAGCGUGGGGAGCAAACGGGAUUAGAUACCCCGGUAGUCCACGCCGUAAACGAUGAGUGCUUGGUGUAGCGGGUAUCGACCCCUGCUGUGCCGAAGUCAACACAUUAAGCACUCCGCCUGGGGAGUACGGUCGCAAGGCUGA